CCUACGGGAGACAGCAGUGAGGAAUAUUGGUCAAUGGACGCAAGUCUGAACCAGCCAUGCCGCGUGAAGGAAGACGGCUCUAUGAGUUGUAAACUGCUUUUGUACGAGGGUAAACGCAGAUACGCGUACCUGUCUGAAUGUACCUUACGAAUAAGGAUCGGCUAACUCCGUGCCAGCAGCCGCGGUAAUACGGAGGGUUCAAGCGUUAUCCGGAUUUAUUGGGUUUAAAGGUUGCGUAGGCGGUCGGGUAAGUUAGAGGUGAAAUCCCGGGGCUCAACUUCGGAAUUGCCUCUGAUACUGUUCGGCUAGAGAGUAGGUGCGGUAGGCGGAAUGUGUGGUGUAGCGGUGAAAUGCUUAGAGAUCAUGCAGAACACCGAUUGCGAAGGCAGCAUACC
rnacentral:rRNA from 1 species